GCGAGAAAGGGGCGGGACGAGACGAGACGAGCACCGUUCCUUGGCGAAUGUGGUUGAUUAGCAGGGCGGCUGUCCAAUCAAAUCGGCCGGGAGAUAAGUGCCUGCGGGGUGUGAAACAUGGUGCACGGUCUCUGCCUGGCUCCCUUGGAGUGACACGGCUGACAGCUCACAGAGAGUGCUGGAGGAGCUCAGUGGCCAGGCAGUGAUGCACCAUCAAUAACUCUCUCUGAGACGUAAAGGCGAGAUAUCGGCUUUUAUUGACUGGAAGAAGGAACAAGCAGUGAGUGACCACCAUACUAAAUCCUGGAGACAGAGAGACCGGGCUCAGGCCUCAAUCGCCUUUAUACCGGGGUCUGUGGGAGGAGCCACAGGAGCAGUCAGCAGGGGGCAUGUCCAGACAGUUAUCUUUUGCACGCUGGUUGUCCGUCCUGUUGGUGUGGUCUUUCAUUGAUUCUACUAUGGUUAUUGGAUUUAUUGAGUGUGCC